rnacentral:pre_miRNA from 1 species
CCCUCCCACUGGAUCCGGCAGAGGGGAGGGUGCCGUCGCCGCCUGCUGCCUCCCCUCCCGCCGGAUCCAGCGGAGAGG